UACGUAGGGCGCAAGCGUUGUCCGGAAUUAUUGGGCGUAAAGAGCUCGUAGGCGGUUUGUCGCGUCUGCUGUGAAAACCUGAGGCUCAACCUCGGGCUUGCAGUGGGUACGGGCAGACUAGAGUGCGGUAGGGGUGACUGGAAUUCCUGGUGUAGCGGUGGAAUGCGCAGAUAUCAGGAGGAACACCGAGUGGCGAAGGCAGAU
rnacentral:rRNA from 1 species